UAAGAGAACGGUGUAAGCUGAUUUUGUAAAGAAGUCAGUGACAAGCCUUCUCUUGCGUUUUACCACAAACACUUCAGUUAUAGAAUGUUUACUGUGUAUAACACAAUUAUAUACAACUUUCAGCAACGGAUCUCUUGGCUCUCGCAUCGAUGAAGAACGCAGCGAAAUGCGAUAAGUAAUGUGAAUUGCAGAAUUCAGUGAAUCAUCGAAUCUUUGAACGCACCUUGCACUCCUUGGUAUUCCGAGGAGUAUGCCUGUUUGAGUCUCAUGGUAUUCUCAACCCCUAAAUUUUUCUAGUGAAGAUUUGGUGGGCUUGGACUUGGAGGUUGUGUUGGCUCUCGCUAGUCGACUCCUCUGAAAUACAUUAGUGUGAACCUUACGGAUCCCUUCAGUGUGAUAAUUAUCUGCGCUGUGGUGGUGAAGUAUUUAUUGUAUUCACGCUUCUAACCGUCUCUCCUUCGAGACAAACACUUUGACAAUCUGAGC
rnacentral:rRNA from 1 species